CUGUUAAGCUAUUUUGUAAUUUUGUUGUAUCCCAGCUCUUCUCGAACAAUUAGUAUUUCAGUAUCAGGUAUACAUGGAGUCAACCAAAGCGCCGUCGGCUCCCCGAGCAGGAAACGUUUCAGUCUGGGCGGUGGCAGCAAAGUUCUGGAGAAGAGCGUCGUUCACACUCCGAGACAAGCUGUUCGGGUGUUUGAUGAGGAGGACAAUGAUGUCACUCCUAAGCUGCUGUACCAAGCACAUCCAGUAGCUUUGCAGGCAAAAGCCAGCAGGUUGUUUCUGGACGAAAUCUCUGCAGCUGGAUCGACAUCAGACCAGAUAUCAGCCACUGGGAGCUUCACCAUGCCUUUCUCCAGGUACCAGAGCUCAUUCUGUUACAGCUGAUCUGAGAUGACAUGAAAUUUGAUUUACAGCCAUAUGUCUCAGAAUUUAUAGGAUUGCAGUGAUAUCCUGUUUUCAAUGUAUAGACUGGUAUGAAAGUUGAAAUUAUCAUGUACGUUUAAAAAAUAUAUUUCAAGUUCAUAUCAAGUUUCA
rnacentral:lncRNA from 1 species